rnacentral:snRNA from 1 species
AAAAAGGGCCUCCAUCAUGUUUAUGUGAUGGACAGUUCAUUACUAAAAUGACUGGGUGGAAUAGCAAUCAAGACAUUUCAGAGGCAUAAUAUUUGAGCACGGGAGAGUCAGCUACAAAUUUUGGCUGACGUCCCA